CCCUUAGAUGUCCUGGGCCGCACCCGCGCUACACUGAGUGUCUGAGAUACGAGUCUGCCUGGUCCGGCAAGGUCUAGGUAAUCGCUAAAAGACACAUCAUGCUUGGGAUAGAUUAUUGCAAAUAUUAAUCUUGAACGAGGAAUUCCUAGUAAGCGCAAGUCAACAGCUUGCGUUGAUUACGUCCCUGCCCUUUGUACACACCGCCCGUCGCUACUACUGAUUGGAUGUUUAAGCGAGGUUCUCGAACUGCUAGCGACUUAGCUUCGGUGAGGUCGCAGUGUGGGAAGUGAACCUAGCUUUGGUGUCUAGAGGAAGUAAAAGUCGUAACA
rnacentral:rRNA from 1 species